UUGAAAACUGCUCUAAUUAAUCAAUUAAAUAAUUAAUUGAUUUAAUUAAUUACCCUGGCCCAAAUAAACAACAAUGACAAGAAUCCGUUAGAAAAAUGCCGCUGACGCACAGUCGCAGUGAUGUAUCCAAGUACUGGGUAUAUCCCUAGCCUGUUCGCUGACCCGCCCGCCCGCUUUUUCGAUCGUCACUACAGACCGAGAGCCUGGAACAGGCUAGGGACCCAAAACUCGAGGAUACCCAAAUCACUGGUGUGACACUGUAGGACCCUGUAGCCUGCAUAGCAGGCGCGACAUAGAGCGGGGAUAGAAGGAGGGGCGCAAGCUACGCUUUUCGUCGAAGCGAAGACCCUGGAGACGAGAGCCGAGUGGCCAAGCCCCCUCUAUAAAACUUUGUGGGAAAUUCAAAAUGGCGGCGCGGUGGAAGACCUUGUGUGGCGAAUCGUGUGGCGCUGUAUAUCAUGUAUUGAGUGAUAAAGCUAUGUUCUGCAGCAACUACAUAAAAUAAAUCAAAGAAAAUUUUUAUGAGGGUCAGCACAACAGACUAACAGAUCUCAUCUUGGGAAAAGAACCCUUUCAAGUAACAUGCUGAACUUUACUUCAAGGCAUUCUGAUUCCCUGAAUCAAAGUGAUGACUGUAGAACUUGUCACUUGCACAUCUAAGCACAGAUCAGAUGCCAACUGGGACAAAGUGGACCAAAGCUUCAAGCAGUCAUCUUCAGAAGGGCUGUGUGCUUUAUUUUGCAUCCAUCUAUUGGGGGAACCAGGUAAACAAAACUCUUGAAUAAGCCAAGUUCUGCCCUGCUUAACUGAAUUCAGUUUUUCAAUGUACACUGUAUUCUUCUGUGGUUGAUUUGCACAAUGAAUAGAAAAACUCUCAUGACACACUUUUUGUCGGUAAAGUUUUAAACCCAUCAUGACUUACUGACUGACUGACUGAU